rnacentral:lncRNA from 1 species
GCUUGACUGCUGUCAUUUGACUCUACAGGGUCAAUAAAAGGUUAAGGCUCUUAUAGUUUUCCUUAAAACCUGUGAAGUUCGACGACGGUGGUUGGUUAAGUAUCAUUGUCUGUUAACUUCAUAGUGAACCCUUAAUUGGUUGAGUUCUAAGUUUGCCAGAAAAUAACUUAUGUGUUUUUUAUCACUAGGUUUGUGGAAUACAAUUUUCCUAUUUUCUAUUUGAAAAAUGUUUCAAAGAAAGUCCAAAGCAUUU